rnacentral:misc_RNA from 1 species
UUUGGUUGCAGAAGGCUUCGUUCAAAAUUAAUAUAAAUAAACAUAACUGAUGAUGUCAUACAUAUUAAGGCCCUGGAUGAGGUCAUAAGGAUCCUAAAAAAUUGACCAUGUAUUAAAGCUAGAGGGUAAACAACAAUUUAAGAAACUGUAAGAGGAGAAGAAACGAAAUAGCCACUGUGCAACUGCAAGUUUACAGAAGGAAUGAAUCAACAGAGGAUCAGAGUAGUGGGGUGGGACGACAAGGUCCACCAAAGCAAAUCUUGUAUCAACCAACAACAGCACAAG